AAGUCGUAACAAGGUCUCCGUAGGUGAACCUGCGGAGGGAUCAUUAACAAUAUCAUGUUGCGUGCGCCAACACACUCACACUGUCAUGUCGUCACUGACAUCACCACGUGAACAACGGCGCAUGUCAAUAUUUUACACCAAUCGAGAUUUGCUUGACCCGACCACUGACACACGCGUCUAUGCGCACUUUACUUUGGUUUAGUGCGCACUGGCACCGUGUCGUGGCUUUCCCAUAUUUUUUUACCCAUUUCACCUAACAAAAUAUAUAAAUAUUAUUUUUUUCAUAUCGAUGUUUGCUUGACGGCGCAGCGAUAGCAAAAAAACAAUAAAAAAAAAAUAAAUGAAGCACAACUCUUAGCAACGGAUAUCUUGGUUCUC
rnacentral:misc_RNA from 1 species